AUAAUCUCACAAACAACACACACACUCAUAAACCCAUAUACUCCUAUGCACUAUAUAUACCUAUAUACAUAGACAACAUAGAGAGAAGCGAUGAACAGAGAGAAAAAAUGGGGGAAAGAGAGAAAUAUAUACACAAAAACACAAAAAAAAAGAAAAAAGAUACAAACAAAGAGAAAUAAAAAUAACGAAAGAGAGAGAGACUGAGGAAGAAAAAGGAGAUUAGAGAGAAAAAAUGAAGGGGGGGGGGGGGAAUGACAACGAGUUGAGAAAAUCACCCCAGUUCUAAUUUUAAUGGAAUUUCAUCAGAAAAACCCAUCUCAUCGAAAAAUGACAACCAGCCCUACCCCUUCCUUUGAUUUCUCCAUUAACAACCAAGAAUCCAAAAAAAAAAGCAACCAAAAUAGGCUCAAAAUCGACCCAUUCCAGUUUUUGGUGAAAUCUAAUGGAAAAUGACCAAAAAUCAAAUAUUGUCAAAUCCCCAUCAAACCAGCACUAAAACCUACCAAUGAAUCAAUCAAAAAAUCUACCUAAACCUAUGUUUCUUCUUUGUUAUUUUUAAAUAGUCCCAAAACAUUGAGAAAACAGAGGUUGGGAGUGGGUUUUUCAUCGUUGAGAUUUGUUGGUUUUCAAGCUCCAAUUUUUCUCAAACAAAAAAAUUACAAUCAUUAAAAUUCAGAGAUAUUGAGGUCCAUUUCUAAUUCUCGCAUCUUUAUUAUUGUAUAAUUGUUUCGACGUGAAUUUUAUUGGAAUGAAUUUGUUAAUGAUUUGAAUUUCAUUUGUCCUAUUUGAUUCGUAUGAAUAAAUUCAAUGUUAUUGUCUUUGGUGUUUGGUAUUAUGGCUUCCAUGGUUCAUUAGGAUGAAAAAUAAAUUAGAUAAGUCAAAUAAUUCAUGUUUGGUUAAUUGGAAUUAAGUGGAGAUUUGAAAAUUGAUAAAAAUGGAUAUGAUCGGCUAGCUUUGAUUUGUUGGUUGUUGAUUAAUUUGGAUUAGUGUUAAGUUUGUGCUCAUUUCAAAGUAGUCUGUUUAGGCCAAAUUUGAUAGGCAAAUGGUAGGUUGGGUAAUCAAAUUGUAGAAAUCGAUAAUUGUUGAAUGAUUGAAUUACAUUGUUUGGGUUUGUUUUAAUUUACCGCAUUCAUUCAAAUGUAUUUAUUUUAUUGCAGAAUUCCUUGAGGUAUUAUGUACUUAUUCACAGGAGAAUGCCCUGUUGUAAUAUGUACACAGAGCAUGUUUAUGAUCAAGGCCUGAGGCGUCGGGUAUAGCAUAGUUUAGGGUAGUUUAAAUUAGUUUAGGCUUUCAUUUCAAUACUUUUUUCAUUUUUUGGCCUACAUUAAUUAGGCUAGACAUUAUUCUUUGGAACUUUGUUUGUUUGUGUAUGUAUUUUUUUGAGCUUAUCAUCUCAUAGUGUUAUUAAUCGAUAUAACUCAAUGAAGCAACUAUGGUCG
rnacentral:lncRNA from 1 species